rnacentral:rRNA from 1 species
UACGUAGGGUGCAAGCGUUGUCCGGAAUUAUUGGGCGUAAAGAGCUCGUAGGCGGUUUGUCGCGUCGAAUGUGAAAACUCGGGGCUUAACCCCGGGCCUGCAGUGGGUACGGGCAGACUAGAGUGCGGUAGGGGAGACUGGAAUUCCUGGUGUAGCGGUGAAAUGCGCAGAUAUCAGGAGGAACACCGGUGGCGAAGGCGGGUCUCUGGGCCGUAACUGACGCUGAGGAGCGAAAGCGUGGGGAGCGAACAGG